GCUCUUCCCAUCAUGAUGUUCUAGUCACUUUUCCAUGGGCAGUCACUCAGGCCAGGAAGCAAUGAAUGGCAGUGUGUGCCUAAGGCUGCCUUGUCCAAAG